rnacentral:lncRNA from 1 species
CUAUAAAUUAGACCCAUUCACCAUCAGAAAGCUCCGAGUUUUCUGCAUUACAAUUCUAUAUAAUUUACAUGCUAUGCAAAUCAUGUUCCACUGAAUACCAUCUAAUGCAUUUAUUCUUCUUCAAAAUUAACUAAACACUGCCUUCUCUUCUGCUAAAUCCAUCUCCCUGCAAAGCAGGUGUAAGGACAGUUUUCAGACAUGUACUGUUGCUUAUUAGCUCCUCUUUGCCAAAAAGUGUAUGACUGGACAAUGGUUAAAAAAAAAAUCUGUGGGGCCUCAUUUCACAAAAACCUAAUUUAAAAUCUGGAUGAUGCUCAUGGUGUGUGGAAGGGAAGGAAGAAUGGAGGCCAAGUUUCCUGGAGGGGGAGGUAGGGACUUGGGAACAGAACACAGAGGCACAGGGACUUGACUGACUUAUUUUGCUAUGACUUUUAUUUUUUUUUUAAUGGCUAUGAGAAAUUGACUUAAUUCCAGAAUAGCAUUUCUCAUCCUUCCUCACAUCUAAUCGUCCUCUGUACCUACUAGUAUCACUGGGCUGACUGCAUUAUUAAGAUGUGUCGGGAGGCAGUCAUUCUAAACCUCUGAUCUUCAGUUACACCGUUUGAUGGGAAGGUAGUGGCAUAAACAGAGGAUUAUUUAUGUCUUUUGACCCAGAGGGGCCAGGCUUAGCAGCAACUGCACCAAAAACCAUAAGGGACAUUGCCUCGCAGCUGAGUAAAGAGAGAAAGAGGUUUUGACUUCUCUCAUGCAAGAGCUUUGCGGGAGCGAUUUUACUGGGAAAGGGUCCCAGAGCUCAAUUAAGAAGUGAUCAACCUCAUCAUCCACAAUUCUUAUGCUGGAACCACUAUGAAAACCCUGUCCAUGGCUUGAAGUCCAGGAGUCUAACGGGAGGAAGCUGUUUCAAGAAGGAGCAACACACACAGGACUAUAUAUAUUUGACACGUUGGGCCAAGGACAGACACCAUUGCAGGACCCCACCCUUUUGUCCCAUGUGGUGGAAUGAGUAGCGUGACUUAGUAGAUACAACUGAGGCUCGACGGACAGAGUUCAGGACCCAGCCCUUCUGCUUUAGCCAUAUGAACUUGGGUAAGGUAAGCUUUCUAAACCUCAGUUUCCACAUUUGUCAAAUGAGGACAAAGAUUACUAUCCACCUCACAGAGUUGUUCAAGACUUAAACCACAUAAAG